AUUAAACACAUACCUUCCUGUUGUGGCUCUAUUAACAAGGAAGCCUUCCAUUGGCUUCAAAACUGCUUAGUUGGGUAUAAUAAGAAUUACUUUAAAUUCGAGGCAAUUGUACACCGAAAGGAGAAGAAGGAGAAGAAGAAUGGCAACUGUUAGAAGAUUAACGGGCUACACAUUCUUAAUUUCCUCUUCAAACAAGGAAGCAUAGGAGGAAUUAAAUUUGAGCAAUAGGGUAUUAGACUUGGUUGAUAAUUAGUGUUGAUGAACACUGAAAUUGAGAAUGAAGAAUGAAGACCGAUGAUUGAAUGGAAGGAAGACUGAAGUCUGUUAAGAGUGAAAGUCACAUGGAAGUCACGUGACUAUUUAUUGCAAAAUUAUUUAGUUUUUAUUUUUACUUUUACCAUUACCACAUCAGUCAUUUUUUAGUUAGUUAGUUAGC
rnacentral:lncRNA from 1 species